rnacentral:rRNA from 1 species
UACGAACUGUGCAAACGUUAUUCGGAAUCACUGGGCUUACAGGGUGCGUAGGCGGCCAGACAAGUAGGGUGUGAAAGCCCCCGGCUUAACCGGGGAAUGGCGCCCUAAACUGUAUGGCUGGAGUGAGAUAGGGGUGUGCGGAACUUCCGGUGGAGCGGUGAAAUGUGUUGAUAUCGGAAGGAACACCGAUGGCGAAGGCAGCCCCCUGGGCUGACACUGACGCUCAGGCACGAAAGCGUGGGGAGCAAACAGG